AAAAUGUGUGGAAACAAAACAUGUUAUUCUCCAUUAACAAGUGCAUUCUUACCUAAAUAAAAACUAAAAGUAUUUAAAUGAAGAUUUUCAAAAUAGAACACAAAAAGCAACACUAAUAAGGUAUACUAUUGUGUAAUUAUUGUGUAAUUGUAUUUAUUGUAUAGUACAGUAAAAGAACUGAUCUAGAACUUUUUGAGGAUAAUGAAAGAAAAAAGAUUGAACCUGAUUUAAAAUCACCAAAAAUUUAGAUUAAAUGGAUUUAACCAAUGGAAGAUAAGCACAUGGACAGUAGUUAGGAUUGUCAGUCAUCAGAGAUUUUACGAAUGUGUUAGCUACUGUCCUGAUGACUAAAAUGAGCAGGACUGGAAACUGGCUGGUAAGGACAUGGAUCAGAACUAUUACAUUGCUGCUGGGAGGAAAAUUACAUUAAUUUGAAAACCUGUCUACUUUCAGGUCUAAAUUCAAGGAAAGAUGAAUGCUUAUGUCUUCAUAAGAUAUCCUUCCCACCGGAUAUGCAGUGUACAUUUAAAUUCAAAAUUUGUAUGCCUCUUACAGGGUUAAAAUGAAUAUAUGCUCAUUUGAGAGCAGCAUAUGUUUGACAUAAAAGCUAUCCUUUUCACCUUGUCAAGAUAUAUUUGUUAGAUUUAGUAUGUCUGCAUUCUUGUCAAAAUAGAAUGCCUGCUUAUAUUGCAUUAUAUUAUUGUCUCAGGAAAUUAUGCAGAAGAAAUGCUUUUAAUAUCAUUAAUGGAUUUUUUUUUUUUACUGUUCCCAUGGAGGUUUUUAAAAAUUGCCUACCUAUUUAUGUUUUACAUCCUGACCACAGUUUCCCUCCCCUCCUCUCCUCCCAGGUCCCCCUACCUCCUUAAGUGUCUUUUAAUUCAUUUCCAUUAUUCUUGGGUAAGCGUCUUCAAGAGGGUUUGUGUUUUGACAAUCUGUAAUUAUUAACGCACUGUAACCACUAGAUGUCACUGUAAUUCUAGUAAUGAAAAAUUAUCUCAAGUACUUGAAAUGUUUAAUACAACAGCUUCAGAAGAACUAGUUUAAAAUCUUUAUUUUAGUAAAUAGUGUUUGGUUAAAUAUUGGAUUUAUUGUCAUAACUUUGGUAUUUUGGUAUAUUAGGUUCCAUUAAAAUGAUGAAAAGUGCUCCAUUUGAUUUCCUUUUUUAAAUAUUUAUUUUAUAUGUAUGGGCUUUGGGUCUGUAUUCCGUGUGUGCAC
rnacentral:lncRNA from 1 species